GAUGAAGAACGUAGCGAAAUGCGAUAAGUAGUGUGAAUUGCAGAAUUCAGUGAAUCAUCGAAUCUUUGAACGCACAUUGCGCCCCUUGGUAUUCCAUGGGGCAUGCCUGUUCGAGCGUCAUUUGUACCUUCAAGCUUUGCUUGGUGUUGGGUGUUUGUCUCGCCUUUGCGUGUAGACUCGCCUUAAAAUAAUUGGCAGCCGGCGUAUUGAUUUCGGAGCGCAGUACAUCCCGCGCUUUGCACUCAUAACGACAGCGUCCAAAAGUACAUUUUACACUCUUGACCUCGGAUCAGGUAGGGAUACCCGCUGAACUUAAGCAUAUCAAUAAGCGGAGGA
rnacentral:misc_RNA from 1 species